UACGUAGGGUGCGAGCGUUAAUCGGAAUUACUGGGCGUAAAGCGUGUGUAGGCGGCUAUGUAAGACAGAUGUGAAAUCCCUGGGCUCAACCUAGGAACUGCAUUUGUGACUGCAUUGCUAGAGUGUGGUAGAGGGAGAUGGAAUUCCGCAUGUAGCAGUGAAAUGCGUAGAUAUGCGGAGGAACACCAAUGGCGAAGGCAAUCUCCUGGACCUGCACUGACGCUCAUGCACGAAAGCGUGGGGAGCAAACAGG
rnacentral:rRNA from 1 species